GUAUGGUGAUGAGGUAGAUUUGAUGGGCUAUUUACAGAUGAGCUAUGUACAGGUGCAGUGAUCUGUGAGCUGCUUGUAUGAUAUCCAUCAAGGACGAGACUGGCGAGGACACCUCCAAGGCGAUGAUGGACAUCUUCAAAACCCACGGUUCUCCUGAGGUCAUCUUGAGUCACCGAGGUCGUGAACUCUGGAACAAGGUUUGGAUGAACUGACCAACCAGACCCUCAAGACUACCAUGGGCAAGUCCCUUGACGAGUACCAGGAACGGUGGGAGAACAACCUGAAGGUAAUUCUCUUUGAACACAACAGCAGCAUCCAGGAUUCCACCGAGUACUCGCCCUAUCGCCUGCUGUACGGACGUGAGCCGUAGCUGUUAGUGAGAUCACUGAAAUUCCACCUGAUGUGAUGGAGGUUGUUGAACCAGAUCAGAAUUCCUUCCAGGACCACGUUCAGGCACGGCUGAGAAGAAUGUGGAGGUUUUUGACCAGGUGAGACUGAACAUGGACAAGGCACAGGAGAAACAAAAGGAGAGCUACUGGAGGAGAAUCAAAAAGGGAACCAAGUGCUCGACAUCGAAUGACUUGGCUUGCAAGAAGGUCGAAAGGAAGACGAGACCUGGGAAACCUCUGCUCUUUCGCUCCUAGCUAGGGUGACCAUCCGUUAAGCUGAAUAUAAAAAUCUCAGAUAAUAACUAUUUACAUUUGCACACAAAAUAACCUGAAGCUAGUUUUAGUUUUCACUUUGUCUUCCAAGGGUUACCUCGGUGGAAGCCAACAAUCUUCUACAGUUGGAACAGUUGGACGGUCAACCACUGAAAGCUCUGUCGCCCUACGCUUCGGUGAAGCCCAAUAGACAAAGACCAUCGACUGUCCGAGCCACCCAGGAUGGGUCCACCAGAGCCAGUGAUUUUGGAACAGUCUGACUUUCUGUGCUCUGAGUCUGAGGGGGACCAGCUUAACUUCAAAAAACAGUUGAAAAGACCUAGGAGUUCUGCCGAACACCCAGACGUGGAUCUACCUAAUGUCCUCCAUUACCAACCACCCUCCAACAAUUACAUAAUCUACAGCUACUGUUACUGUUAUGUUGUCAUUAUCUGUGAAUAAAGUUUUCUUGCUCUAUCA